UGUGGCAGAAAAGUGCAAUAAAUUUAAGACUUACAAAUAAAGUUCCAACUUUCUUUAGA
rnacentral:tRNA from 1 species